rnacentral:lncRNA from 1 species
GUUGGCAGGAAUGGAGAGUGACUGCAUGUAGGUAAAGGGUGAUAAAACAGUUCUAAAAUUAGGUUGUGGUAAUAGUUUCACAACUCUUUGAAUAUACUAAAAGACACUAACUUAUACACUUUAAAUGGAUGAACUGUAUGGUAUGUGUAUUAUGUGUCAAUAGAACUUUUCACAAAACUGAGCAAGUUGGCCAAUUAUUAGUAGAUAAGCUGAGUUGACUUUGUAUCUCAAAUGUGCCUAACAUAUAUCUUUAUCUCAAAACCAACAUGCACAGAAAAAUGCAUAAUAACAUGUAACACAUAGAUAAUGUUUUGUAAUCCUCCUUCUUUUUUUAACUUUAAAAUAGACUUGAGCACUUUUCCAUGUCAUGACAUAGUCUUUUACGACAUAAAUUUUUAACAGAUACAGAGUAUCCUGUUGUAUGGCUGAACCUUAUUUUAUCCAGCCAAGUCACUAUGAUUUGAAUGGUUUCUAAUAUGGAGCUAUUAUCAAACUCAGUGCCAUAAACAGGCUGGUGGGCUUUGUAUUUUUGACAGCAUCUAUGACCUUUUUUCACUGAUCACUGUAGGGUCUCUCUCUUUUAAAAACUUUUUACUAAAGUAUGAUGUAUGUAUAUAAAAGUGCCUAUAUCAUAUGUGUGCAGGUGGAUAUAUUUCACAAACAACGCACUUGUGUAAGUAGGAUCCACCUAAAGAAACAGAACAUGACCGGCACUUCAGAAGCCCUCUCCUGCUCUCUGGGUCUUUUUUUCUUUUUCAGUUGAAUAUCGGGUGUCAGUACAUCAAAUUGGCAAAUCCAAUAGCCCCCUUUGGAGCAGAGCCAGUAAAGCCUUCAUGGAUUACCACUUAACAUGCACUCGGGUCUCUGUGUGUAUUUGCGCCUUGGCUCUCCCACUUUCAGUGCUGUGGUAUCUAGUAACCAUAAUCCUCACCCAAGAGUCAUUUGACUUGAAUUUUCACCUUUUGGGUAGCUUCAGGAGCUGAAUGGGCAGCUGCCAAGUUGAGCUGGCAUGGGCAAGUGGCAUGACCAGGCAGGUGGCACCUUCUUCCCUGCCCCACACACCCUUCAGUGCCUGUAAGGGGGAGCCUAAGAAAUGGUGAGCAAAGGCCAGAUGUUCUCAAUGAGUAGAUUGCAAACUUGGGUGCAUAUCAGAAUCCCUGGGGAGCUUUAAAAUGUAAUGAUACCUGGGACCCAUCCACAGAGAUUCCGAUUUAAUUGGCCUCAGGUAUGGCCUGGGCAUGGAGAUUUUUUUUUUUUUAAAUACCCAAGUGAUUCCCAGGUGUAGCUGAGGCUGAGAACUUGUGCUCUAAACUCAGACUCUCUCUGGUGUCAGCAUUAGCUGAGGAUUAAGUGCCACAUCUCACUGACUCUGUAAUGUUUUUUUUUGUAAUUCACACCAACUUUUUUUAGCUUUCCUUUGUGCAACACAACUUUAACAUCCUGCUGUCUCCAUAGGUUGAACUGGCAUUCUCUCAGAAGGUUGUGGAUAUGCCAGGUCAUUUAGCCUGAAUGGGAAUUAAGAGGUCUUAAAACAAUAAUGAGUUACAAAAGUCUCUCCUUAAGCAUAUUUAUGUGCUUUCCUAUCUUUCCUGCAGAUGAUGUGUCCUGAUAGAAUAGGGUGCUCACUGGGAGAAAUGAUGGUUUCAGAUGUGUAAAUUACACAAGGGAGAUUUGCAAAGCCAUCAUGUUGGAUCCAUCUGAUUUGUUCCCUGUUUCCUGCAGAGGACACAAGACUUUAAGAAGGGCACUCUGCAGGCAGGGAGAACUUUCCCAAACAGAGGCCCAGACAGCAUACUUGAGAGGUGACUAAAGGUUUCUUUUGUAAGUUACCUUGAAGGGGGAAAAGGAAAUCCUUGGUUUAUAAGCCACAACCAAUGGACUGAGCAAAAGUCAGAUAAAAGGAAGAAUAAGGAGUCUGAGCAAAGCAAGAAGGGAGAUGAGUCUGGGGUAAGUGGGUGCUUCCAGGGUGUGAAGGACAUGCAGCUGAUCCCCAGUAGAGGAAAUGACCAGCUAGCUUACCAGGUGGAGCUGUUGGCAAGUGCAAGCAGAGCUUCCCAGGUACUGAGGCACAGGAAACACAGGUAAGUGUCAUCUGUGUUAGACAGAAAGGGUAAUAAGCAAUGAAGGCAAGAACACAGAUAGGGAAAUGUCUCCUGAUGCCCAGGGAAAUGCCAUGCUCUCCAUAAUUUCACCCUCCUAAAUGUUGGCCUGGGAGUGCUGAUAUGUGACCUGGAGUGCCUAGGAACCGCAUCCUUUCCCAAAGAGUGUUCAGUGGACCCUGGCCAGGAGGUCAUCUCCAACAGAGCUCAGAGCUGAUGAUACACUUUCCCACAUGAUUUCAAAGCAGUGGUGGGUUCUGUCUUGUAUUUAUACAACCAACAGAAGAAUCUAUUUUGGAGAAAACAGGCAAAGAAGGGAGCUGAGGGUAGUAAUUUUGUAGCCUGCUCUGUAAUUUAGUCUGGUAUUCUCUGCUGAAGGAGAAAAUAGUCCCUGUGUUAACAGACAGUGGAGAAUGAGAGAAGGAAAGAUCAAGGAAUCUGGAUCCUGGUCCUGAAAUUUUCAGUGUAUUAGGAAGAGGGGAAAAACUUUUCUACUCCCCCCCCCCAUUUUAACAUCAUAGAAAGACACACAGAUGAAAAUAUAGAUGGGUGGAGAGAUAGAUGAAUAUAGCAGGGUGGGCCGUGUAACAAUAGAUAGAUGAGAGAAAGUGAGAGUAUUGGCCAAGAGCAUAGACACUGAAGACAGACUGCUGUCUGUUUCAGAGUCACAGCUGCCACCGAUGAAUAAGUGACCUUGGGCAGGUGAUGCACCUUCUCUGUGCCCUAGUGUCUUUAUCUGUAAAAUGGGAUGAUAAGAGUACAUACCUCACAGAGCCUGGCACAAAGUAAGCUAAUACAAGUUCUCUUUAAUUUUAUUAUUAUCAGGAUAUUUUGAGAGAACAGAUAAGAACUCUCUACCGCAGCCUGAGGAAGUCAGAGCGAAUAGGCUCCCAAAUCGGGGAUGGGGGUAGUAGCUUGGGCUGAGUCUCCAAUGCUACCUAGGAAUUGUCAAGCUAGGAGGAAGAUGGUAUUCCCAUUCUAGAUAGAGGAGUGGGGCCUGUGGUUGAGGAAGAUGUUUGUAAGGAAGGUUUUUAAGUGAUUUGUGUUUUUGUGUUUGUUUUGUUUUGUUUUUGCUUUUUAGGGCCACACCUGCGGCAUAUGGAGGUUCCCAGGCUAGGGUCGAAUCAGAGCUAUUGUCUGCGACCUACACCACAGCUCACAGCAAUGCUGGAUCCUUAACUCACUGAGGGAGGCCAGGGGAUGGAACCCGAAACCUCCUGGUUCCUAGUCAGAUUCGUUUCCAUUGUGCCGUGACGCAAACCCUGGUGAUUUGUAUUUUUUGAAUCAGGUCCUUCCAUGUUUGAAAAAUAGGUGAACACAUAUAUGAAAGUCACAAUGUUUUGUUGUGUUUUUUCCUUCCAGUCCACAGGUGACUGGAUCACAAUAUCUUGUGAAGCCUCCUAGUCUCCUCCCCAGGGUCUGUCGUCUCCAGUUUGAAAGUCAUUACUGGAGUCGGCUGUGUCCUGAACUCAGGUCUUGCUUUCCUAUGACAGCGCUAUCCACACGGAGAGCCAGCGAGGGUUUUCAAACGGAGGGACUGCGAGGGAAAUGGUUACUCAGCAUUUGUCUCACCCUCUUCUCAGGGCACUUUUAUGUACGGCAGAGUCUACACACCUAAAACUACAUUUCCCAGACUCCCUGGCAGCUGUUUAAUUUCAGUCCUACCAAUCAGAGGCGGUCAGCUGAGACAAAUUCAGACCUCUUUUAUUUUUUUAAUUUAUUUUUGUCUUUUUAGGCCACACCCAUGGCAUAUAGUUCCAGGGCUAGGGGUCGAAUCGGGAGCAGACCUCUUUUAAAGUGGGGGAAGAGGCAUGGUGGGAAGCUUCUGUUUUUUUGGCUGCAGCUUACAACAGGUCUGGUGUUCCUCCGAAGCCAGGGGUUCCAGCAGUGGCUUCCUGAAUCCCUAGAUCACAGCUGACGUCGGGCCCCUGGAGCCAGCGGCUGCGAGGGCAGCUUGACGGUUUGCUUACACAACCCCUUCCUGAGGGUGGUGUUUUGCUCUCAGGAGAACCGAGUUAACGUGCAUCUGGUGUCUGCUGUAACCGGGACCCAGACCUGCUUUCUUUCCACCUUUGUCCAGUGCAAGGUCAACCCCACUCCCUCUGUCUCCUUCCCCUGCCUGUGGCCCUUCCCUGGAGUCAUCCGGUCUUUGGGAAGGGAAUCUCAGCACAGGCUUCUUGGUUACUUUCCUCCCAGGAGACACCUGGGCUUCUUAUGCAAAUUUCUCUCCUCCCACUUAGGCAAAUCUGCAGUUCCUCUGCCUUGAAGCUUUUUGUUUGUUUAACCUUAAAAAAAAAAAAGAGAGAGAAAUUAGCCUGCUUAACACCUUGCCAUAAAGUGAUGCCACUUUGGGGUGGAAAGAGUGAUAUAGCCUUGGGGGAGAUGCUAGCAGAGCCAGCCAGAGGAAUUAGGGAAAUAAACUAACUGAAAUGGAGAGGCAGGGCUUUCCAGAUAAUUUCUAAAGAAAGCACAUUGUGGUGGGAGUAAGGAUCUGUCCUCUGAGGUUGCAAGACUGAUCUUUCAGGCUCUUAAACUUAAAGGAAAGUGAGAUAGGGAGUUCCUGUUGUGGCUCAGCAGGUUACCAACCCCACUAGAAUCCAUGAGGAUGCGGGUUUGAUCCCUGGCCUUGAUCAUUGGGUUAAGGAUCUGGUGUUGCUGUGAGCUGUGGUGUGGGCUGGCAGCUGCAGCUUCAAUUCAACCCCUAGCCUGGGAACUUCCAUUUGCCAAGGG